rnacentral:rRNA from 1 species
AAAGUCGUAACAAGGUUUCCGUAGGUGAACCUGCGGAAGGAUCAUUCAUAAUAAGUGUUUUAUGGCACUUUUAAAAAUCCAUAUCCACCUUGUGUGCAAUGUUAAGGCAAGAAGAGUGAGGAAUGAAGAGCAAUUUUCAUUCCCUCUCUUUUUGCUUUUCAAUUACAAACUCAUUUUUUUUAACAUAUCGUCUGAAAACUAUUAUGAAUACUUAAUUCAAAAUACAACUUUCAACAACGGAUCUCUUGGCUCUCGCAUCGAUGAAGAACGCAGCGAAAUGCGAUACGUAAUGUGAAUUGCAGAAUUCAGUGAAUCAUCGAAUCUUUGAACGCAUAUUGCGCUCUUUGGUAUUCCGAAGAGCAUGCUUGUUUGAGUAUCAGUAAACACCUCACAAUCAAUUUUUAUUUUUAAUGAAUUUUGAAAGUGGAUUUGAGUGAUCCCUACUCUUGUAAAAAAAGAGGCCGGUUACUUGAAAUGCAGGUGCAGCUGGAUUUACAACUGAGCUAUAAGCAUAUCUAUUUAGUCUCGUAAAACAGAUUAUUCAUUUUGCUAAAGCUACUCUAAGGUUGUAUUUCCAUAUGGCUGACUGAUGCAGAUUAACAGAGAAAUCGCAAGGUUUUUUUGUAAACUCGAUCUCAAAUCAAGCAAGACUACCCGCUGAACUUAA